GUCCACGCCGUAAACGAUGUCUACUAGCCGUUGGGUUCCUUGAGGACUUAGUGGCGCAGCUAACGCAAUAAGUAGACCGCCUGGGGAGUACGGUCGCAAGAUUAAAAACUCAAAAUGAAUUGACGGGGGCCCGCACAAGCGGUGGAGCAUGUGGUUUAAUUCGACGCAACGCGAAGAACCUUACCAGGUCUUUACAUCCAGAGAACUUUCCAGAGAUGGAUUGGUGCCUUCGGGAGCUCUGAGACAGGUGCUGCAUGGCUGUCGU
rnacentral:rRNA from 1 species